rnacentral:rRNA from 1 species
GCGCGAAAACUUUACAAUGCUGGCAACAGCGAUAAGGGAACCUCGAGUGCCAGGUUACAAAUCUGGCUGUCGAGAUGCCUAAAAAGCAUUUCAUAGCAAGGGCCGGGCAAGACCGGUGCCAGCCGCCGCGGUAACACCGGCGGCUCGAGUGGUAACCGUUAUUAUUGGGUCUAAAGGGUCUGUAGCCGGCCGGAUAAGUCUCUUGAGAAAUCUGGCAGCUUAACUGUCAGGCUUUCAGGAGAUACUGUCUGGCUCGAGGCCGGGAGAGGUGAGAGGUACUUCAGGGGUAGGGGUGAAAUCUUGUAAUCCUUGAAGGACAAACAGUGGCGAAGGCGUCUCACCAGAACGGACCUGCCGGCAAGGGACGAAAGCUAGAGGCACGAACC